rnacentral:rRNA from 1 species
UACGAAGGGUGCAAGCGUUAAUCGGAAUUACUGGGCGUAAAGCGUGCGUAGGCGGUUUGUUAAGUCCGUUGUGAAAGCCCUGGGCUCAACCUGGGAAUUGCAGUGGAUACUGGCAAGCUAGAGUCAGGUAGAGGGUGGUGGAAUUCCCGGUGUAGCGGUGAAAUGCGUAGAGAUCGGGAGGAAUAUCUGUGGCGAAGGCGGCCACCUGGACCAUGACUGACGCUGAGGCACGAAAGCGUGGGGAGCAAACAGG